rnacentral:rRNA from 1 species
UACGUAGGGGGCAAGCGUUGUCCGGAUUUAUUGGGCGUAAAGCGCGUGUAGGCGGCCAGGUAGGUCCGCUGUGAAAACCCGAGGCUCAACCUGUGAAUGCCGCUGGAAACUGUCUGGCUUGAGUCCGGGAGGGGCGAGUGGAAUUCCUGGUGUAGCGGUGAAAUGCGCAGAUAUCGGGAGGAACACCAAUGGCGAAGGCAGCUCGCUGGGACGUUACUGACGCGUGAGACGCGAAAGCGUGGGAGCAACAGG